rnacentral:rRNA from 1 species
AUUGAACGCUGGCGGCGUGCUUAACACAUGCAAGUCGAUCGGUAACGCGGGGGCAACCCUGGCGACGAGAGGCGGACGGGUGAGGAACGCUUGGGAAUCUGCCCUUCAGCGGGGGACAACCCGGGGAAACUCGGGCUAAUACCGCAUACGCUCCACGGAGGAAAGCCGGGGACCGCAAGGCCUGGCACUGAAGGAUGAGCCCAAGUCGGAUUAGCUAGUUGGCGGGGUAACGGCCCACCAAGGCGACGAUCCGUAGCUGGUCUGAGAGGACGAUCAGCCACACCGGAACUGAGACACGGUCCGGACUCCUACGGGAGGCAGCAGUGGGGAAUAUUGGACAAUGGGGGAAACCCUGAUUCAGCGACGCCGCGUGGGUGAAGAAGGCCUGCGGGUUGUAAAGCCCUUUCGGUAGGGACGAAAGCUCUUGCCCUAACACGGCAGGAGGUUGACUUAACCUACAUAAGAAGCACCGGCUAACUCUGUGCCAGCCGCCGCAGUAACAC